rnacentral:lncRNA from 1 species
GAGGAGCCAGAGAUCUGCUCUAGCUGCAGCAUAGGAGAGUAAGGAUACCCUUCCGGCCAGCCCAGUCCAAAGUUUGGAGCAACAGGAAAUGUGACCUCAGUCCCCACAUGCAGCCUGCUGGGCUGCACUGUGGAAAGCCAGGCGAUUUUCAGCUGAGUCCUGCAGCGGGAGGUGAUUUUCACUCAUGAUGCUGCCUGGCCCCGGUAUUCUCUGGGAAACGGGGCACAGCACGGGGUAGAAUUUCAUGGAAACCCAUCCGGGGAAAUGGCCCCAACCUCCCGGCAGAGGCGGGGGCUCCAGCAGAGACACUGCUCUUGUGCAGCGGGGUCUGCCUCGCACUCUUCAGUGAAAUCCAGCUCAUCCUGACAGCCCAGCCUUUCCUGGUAAACUCGCCUUCGGUUCUGCACAUCAAGGUGUCAGGGGGUUUCGUCGCAGCCACAGGGGAAGUGACUGAGACACUCAGGUUGUGAAAUGUCCAGCGGAUGGCGAGAGGACUUUCUCCCGUGCUUCCACGUUUCCUCGAGGAAUGCAGACCACUGUUGAGAACAGGUGUUCAAGAGGAAGCAAGGCUAAAUAGGUCGAGGCCCAUUUCCACACUUCCGAGCUACGCUGUGAGCCAAGACGGCGGCUCUUGCCUGUGGUUGUUGGAGGCUGAAGCGGAAGGAUGGCCUGAGCCCAGGAGGAGUCCAGGAAGGAGAAAACACUUUGCAUCAUGAGAAAGCAUGCAUUUCCCACCCUCUUUGCGGUAUCUCAGAUUGAACCGAGGGCCUUCACUGAACCACACCCUCAGCUCUCUUUAACAUCGAGGCAGUGUCUUGCUAAGUUGCCAAGGCAAGGCUCAAACUUUGUUUGGGGGGGGUGGGCACCAGAAUGGAACUCAGGACCUUGCACUUUCCAGGCAGGUGGCAGAACCACUGAGCUAAAUCCCUAGCCCCUAGGGCUCAAACUUUUAAUCCUCCUGCUUCAGCCUCCCAAGUGCUGGGAUCACAGGUGUGCGCCAUUGUGCCUAGCAGAAAAGCACAUGUCCCUAAGAAUUACUAGUUACCUAAAGGGCCUAGGGAUUGAUAACCAGAACUGCAAAGAGCAAGGGAAGCAACUCUGUAUGUGAGGAACAAGAGGCGUCUUUUAUACAGGAAGUUACAGAGUGUGAGAAGGUUUUGGGGCCAAAAGAAAGUAAAGUUUUUGUCCUUAAAGUGACUAUGAUUCCAAAGUAGGAAAGAGAGGUAGAAUACAGAACUGAGAGUUUGGAUGAACUGUGAAAGAUUUGAAGAAGUUGUAAAAGGGGCUUGGAAGGAAUGAAUAAAAAAUGUCAGGCAAACUAAAGAGGAUUCCCCCGAAUGCAGGGGUGGCAGGGAGCCUACACCUGAGUCCCCAGAAGGUGGCUUGAAGGGAAGUAUGGAACAGAGUGGGUCUCACUGCAGGUUCCAGGGGCACUGCUCUGUGACGAUCUAUGGGAAGCAGCAACCAGGCUGGUGACAAACGGGACUUUAACUGGGGACACCACACCGGAAGUGCCCAUGGUCCCCAAUUAAAUGAUGCUCUUGGGUGCCCCAUAGUCCAAGUACCUGGCAUGGACUCAAUGAGACCACAGCCGUCUGCCACGGGGGCUGUACAUGGGCAAUGCUGCAGGACAUUUGUCAGAGUCUCAUUUCCCUUUGCAACUGUGACCUAGAAGUAAUAUUUGGCUAUGACCACACAAUCUGGGAAAUUUGAAUUUCUCACAAGACUGGCCUUGUGUCUCUGGCUCCAUGACUAACAGUGUUUGGGACACGGGAAAGGAUGAUUUUUUGGGGAUGAAAUUCGUCAUUAUGUUGCUUUAUUUCCUGACUUCUAUAAUGAGGUUAACUUUAGUUUCCAGAGCUGGAUGGAACAUAAUACCAAGAGAGCAGAACAGCUAAAACUAUUAGCAAUGGAUAAGGGUCAGAAUGAUUUGCAUAUUGAAAACCGAUUUUUCAUAGAAUUAGGGCUAACAUCUCUUCGUGAGGUUACAGCCAUGGAGUCAAACUGGCCUGAAGAGAAGCGAGAACGGGGAGAUGUUGCUGAGUUACCCUGAAUACUCUAAACACCAAGGAAGUAUUUCAUGAUGUGCAGGCGACUGCUCGGUCGCGGUGGCUGCAGAAUUCUCUCCUGCUGCAUGCAGCCUGCAAAUGUCACAUGGCUCACAGAACAUGGAGGACUAGGAGCAUCAGGACUGGGCCAGGAUGGCCAGGGCCCAGGGCGCCUCCUGAGCGGGGAAGGACCUGUGCCUGUGCUGGGCCUCGGCCUGCAGUCCUGGAGCAGCUGGGCCCUCAUCCCUGUGCCCAGGGCGGUGCUGGCCGCAGUGGAGCCGCAGGCUGAGUUCCCUGCAGAGGCCCCUGGACCUGCAGGCCCGGCAGGCUGCUGGAUUGAGCAAGGUCUGGGUUUCAGGAGCCGGUUCUGUGGGGCUCUCGCGGUGCCUUUGACAGUUGUUUACUUUCAGUCUGCGCUGCUGUUGGGUUGAACGCUCGGAAUGGAUGGUGAAGGUCAGAAGGUCCUGAUCUCCCACCAACCCGAGAGCUGAGCCUCCUGUUACGAAGCCGUGGGUGGGGCCGCUGCCCGUCUGUCCUCCCAGUGCUCUGGGCGGCUGAGGUAGGAGGUCAAAAGUUUAGCAGUUUAGCCACUUUAGCAAGACCCUGUCCCUGCAACAGGAAAAGAACUGGGGAUGCAGCUCCAUGCAGAGGCUCUGGGUUGGGUCACCAGUACUGGGGAUGAUGAUGAUGAUGACAGAGAUAAAAGGGCACAUUUCAGAGAAAGGUAUUAUUCUCCCUCUUUGCAUCUUAAGUUCUCAUCCUUGAUCUUAGGAGGGAAACAUUCUAAACAGCCUGGUGCGAAUUUUCCUAGAUGUUAGUAAAUGUAAGUAUGUAC